rnacentral:lncRNA from 1 species
AACAAGCACCCAGGAGAUCCUUAUUAUGAGGCAAGUUUGAAAAAACGAGGAAACAGUUAUAUGACAGUUGUACGUAAUGACUAUGAUUAAACCUCCAUAAGCCAGUCGAGGUGGACCCUAAAUCCAAUGACACUGUCCUUGUAAGACACAAAUAAGAAGACACAGAACGCAGAGGAGAAGGCCAGGUGAAGAGGGAGGCAGAGAUCAGCAUGACGCUGUUCACAAACCAAGGAAUGCCGAGGAUUGCAGAAGCCACCAGAAGCUCAGGAAGAGGCAAGGAAGGGUUCUCCCCUAGAGCCUUUGGAGUAA